GUCCCUUUGGGGAAAUCUGGUAAAAUUAGAACGAUACAGAGAAAAUUAGCAUAUGUAAGAAUGACAUGCAAAAUUUGAGAAAUGGUCCAAAAAAAU
rnacentral:snRNA from 1 species